rnacentral:misc_RNA from 1 species
UUUCUGCUAUUUGUCUGACCCCAUUUUUGAGCAUCUUCCUUGCUGCGGUGCUACCGGAAACGACUCAUCACGUGACUACAAAACACGUAACUACAACCCCGAGACCAACCCCGUAAAGAUAUGAGCAAACCAACAACUUCUACCUGUACGACAGGGACAGCCAUUACUUCUGUGUCUCCUAUCAUUCCAUCCGUGUACACUACCACUACUGUCUCUGCUAUCAUCUCCCGUAUGAACACAGAGGGGAGCUCAAUGAUCCCAUGUUGCUUUUGAAAACAGAGAAAUUGAUGUUUGAAUUAUAUGAUGCGGGGUUUUACGUACAACUACCAUUGAAGGAGCUUGAAUAUUACAGCCACCGAAACUAUGCUAUGUGUACUCACACUAAUGGUAAUCCACCGAACACGACUUUCUUUGUGGUGUAUCCCAAACCCAACAAAUAAAAUGCAGGUUCAAGGAAAAUGUAAAUAAAAUGUGUACACCAAUUGU